CUUCCACUAGACCAGGCUACAUCUUCCCUUGAAAUGUAUCCAAGACUCCUGCGAUAGUCCAACCUUUUGGAUAAACUCAAGUCAGGAAGAAAGACAUGCCUUUCUCAUACCUUGGCAUAGAAAAAUUUACAAGAUAAUGAUAUGUGAAACGUGUAUGAUACUUCAGAAACUGUCUGCUUAACUGACUUCCCUCAUGCUGCAGAAAUGGUUUACAGACAUCACAGAGACUGCUUAAUGAGACAAGGUGCAAAUAAGGUUAAACACUGCAACAGCACUGUCUGAGCAAGAUGAACAGCCUGUUUGGCUGUUAUCCGGUUCCAGUAUGGGGGCCCUUCUUCAGGGUCCAACAUGGGUCAGGCUGCAACAUGGGUCCUUCACCAGACAUGGUCCUUCAGUAAUAUCGGCUCCAGAAUGGAUUCUUCAUGGGAGUUGUUUUUUCAGGCAAGAUCCACCUGUUCUGGUGUACUGACCUCCACGGGCUACAGCUGCCCCAGUGUGGUCCUCACCAUGGACUGCAGGGGACCCACUGCCCUUGCGCCUGAAGCACCUCCAUCUCCUCCUCCAUGUAUGACCUUGGUCGGCACAGGAUCAUUUCUUAUGUUUGUUGUUUUCCUCCCCUAGUCCUCUCUGCUUUCUGGCAUUUUGCCUUUUUGAAAAUAUCUUACCACAGAAUCACCACCAGCUUGGCUGAAGGGCUCAGCUGUUCGUCAUGGCAGGUGGGACCAGCCACAUCUGGCUGUGUGCAGCCCCUCCCCUCUGCUCACACAGGAGCACUGCCCCAAACCCUCUUCUAAUUAUAUUUAAAAUAACCUUCCUUUUUUUUUUCUACCGUGACUAUGUAUCCUCAUAUGUAAUAAUGAAUUUAAAGCAAAUUAUGAAAUAGUUGUUCAUUAAGAAUCUAAUUUUUUUCUGGUGAAUCUAUAUUAAGAACAGUUUAUCCACAACUAAACACCCGGUCAUCUGAGAUAUAAACUAGUUUAGGUUUGUCUUAUGGUGUGGUUUUCCCAGGUACUCAAAAUACCUAUUUGUCUCCAUCCUACACCAUGCUUUGUACCAAUCUCAGAAGAAAAUCUUUGUGUUCGAGUGCUGCCCAUGACAGUAGCUGAGCUUUGGUAAGCACAGACACAAAGAGCUACAAAAUCAAACAACAAACCAUAGGAUAAAAAGAAUUUUAAAAAUCCUUCCAUGAACAAACUAAGUUAUUUUUCUUCAAUACUGUUGUAAAAGUCUGAACACUAAUACUUAUUGGAUAACAAUUAUUCCAUGAUACUCUGACUAACAUCUUUCUGACAGGUUAAGUUAUUCUUAGAUUAUUUUUGUAUUGGUUCUGGUAUGCAAGACAAGAUUCUUCAUUCUUUAGUAAAGUUAUUCUUCCUGCAUAAAAUUUCAACUAGAUUAAUUUAAUGUCUGCCCAUGAUAACAUUGUCAUGCCACUGUUUUUCCAGAUUGCUGCAUUUAGAUAAUGGUGUACUCUAGAUAAUUGAAGUCAGUCCUGAAAUUCUCACUCAUUAUUAGUCUAUACUUUUCUCUCCAAAAAAUAUGCUCUUAUGAAUAAGAUCUAUGAUAGAUGAAGAUGUAACUCAAUUCUUGUGGGAGAGAAAAUUCACAUAUUCUUCCAGGGAAGCUGAAUCAGUCUUUUACUAUUAUUAUAAGCAUAUAUGGUCUUUACUGAUAUUGCAAAGACAAUCUCUUUACAAGUUGUCUGCCCAUACCCCACAUUUAUUCUAUAGUCAUCUGGUCUCUACAUGCCUAGUAGAGCAUCAAAAUCAACUGAAAGGGACAAAUGAUAAGAAGGAUUUAAAAAAAUAAUUAACAUUAUGCUUUAUGUUUUCUGAAUUAUAUGUUUGGAGAGGAUAGAUGACAGGAUAGAUGACACCACAUUCUAGGGAUUCUAGGGAUAUCCCAGGCUAUCUGCUGUCACACUCAAAAUAUAAAACAUAAAUCUGGGGGUAGAAGAAGUAUGAGGGAGGACAUUUGCAGCUAUGACAUUUCUCUUCCUGGAGAAGAGGAUGCUCAGGAGUGACCUUAUUGCUCUUUACACCUACCUGAAAGGAGGAUGUAGCCAGGUGGAGGUCAGCCUCUUCUCCCAGGAAACAAGCAAUAGGACAAGAGGACACAAGCUGCACCGGGGAAGUUUAAGGAAGAAUUUUUCACAGAAAGAGUAGUUAGAUAUUGAAAUGGACUGCCCAGGGAGGUGGUGGAGUCACUGUACCUGGAGGUGUGUAAGGAAAGACUGGACUUGGCACCAAGUGACAUGGUCUAGUGGACAGGUGGUGUUGGGUGACAGGUUGGACUCGAUUUUGUGGUUCUGUAUUUCCCAAGUAAUCCUGCUUUCCUGGGGAUGUCUGGAUCCCUGCUUGCCCUCGGGAAGAGGUGAAUUAAUUCCCUUGCUUACACACACAGCUUUUGUUAUACUGGUUAAGCUGUCUCCAACCACAAGUUCUUAACACAAGUUCUGACUGUCUCUUGAAUCCGACUGAUGUUUCCAUGUUUUUUACAAUACCUUAUCUUUUCCAGUUCUGUCAGGCAACUCAUUUACAUGGUAGCUCCAUAUUGAAUUGCAUUUUUUUAAACAUGAACUUUGUCUCCCAUCUAAAGAGAUUUAUUAUUCUCAUCAAGAGCAACAUUUGUGAGCAAAGUUAAGUUGUGCUUUGGAACAAAAGAUAAAUGUUUAUUCUAACCAUUUAUUUCCUUGAUGUCCUGAUAGAAUGCUCAGCACACUUUAUAUCUUUUAACAUGUUUGCUCCUUUCUAAAGAUAUAUUUCUUUACUAAUUCUUCUAUCUAUAAAUAGGCAGUUUCAAUGUAUAGAUAGGAUGACUGAAUUACAUUAGAUUGUAAAAUACAGUGUUUUUACUCCUGGAAUGAAAAAAUACAAUAGUUCCUCUUUAGUAAGAAGAAGUGAAUAGUGAUAUUAUUUCCUAUAAAUAAUGUCAUGCAUCAUCUUUUCCACUGAUUGCUAUUUUUUUCUUUUAAAUUACACCUAUCCCAAUCACAAGAUAUUCACAUGUAUCUGUUAAUUAACUUGCAGAGGGUUACAUACCCUAGAUUUUA